rnacentral:rRNA from 1 species
UUGAACGCUGGCGGCAUGCCUUACACAUGCAAGUCGAACGGCAGCACGGGGGCAACCCUGGUGGCGAGUGGCGAACGGGUGAGUAACAUAUCGGAACGUGCCCUGGAGUGGGGGAUAACUAGUCGAAAGAUUAGCUAAUACCGCAUACGAUCUACGGAUGAAAGUGGGGGAUCGCAAGACCUCAUGCUCGUGGAGCGGCCGAUAUCUGAUUAGCUAGUUGGUGGGGUAAAGGCCUACCAAGGCAUCGAUCAGUAGCUGGUCUGAGAGGACGACCAGCCACACUGGGACUGAGACACGGCCCAGACUCCUACGGGAGGCAGCAGUGGGGAAUUUUGGACAAUGGGCGCAAGCCUGAUCCAGCAAUGCCGCGUGAGUGAAGAAGGCCUUCGGGUUGUAAAGCUCUUUUGUCAGGGAAGAAACGGCGGGGGCUAAUAUCCCUUGCUAAUGACGGUACCUGAAGAAUAAGCACCGGCUAACUACGU